rnacentral:rRNA from 1 species
AGAGUUUGAUCAUGGCUCAGGACGAACGCUGGCGGCGUGCCUAAUACAUGCAAGUCGAGCGAGCGGAACUAACAGAUUUACUUCGGUAAUGACGUUAGGAAAGCGAGCGGCGGAUGGGUGAGUAACACGUGGGGAACCUGCCCCAUAGUCUGGGAUACCACUUGGAAACAGGUGCUAAUACCGGAUAAGAAAGCAGAUCGCAUGAUCAGCUUUUAAAAGGCGGCGUAAGCUGUCGCUAUGGGAUGGCCCCGCGGUGCAUUAGCUAGUUGGUAAGGUAAAGGCUUACCAAGGCGAUGAUGCAUAGCCGAGUUGAGAGACUGAUCGGCCACAUUGGGACUGAGACACGGCCCAAACUCCUACGGGAGGCAGCAGUAGGGAAUCUUCCACAAUGGACGCAAGUCUGAUGGAGCAACGCCGCGUGAGUGAAGAAGGUUUUCGGAUCGUAAAGCUCUGUUGUUGGUGAAGAAGGAUAGAGGUAGUAACUGGCCUUUAUUUGACGGUAAUCAACCAGAAAGUCACGGCUAACUACGUGCCAGCAGCCGCGGUAAUACGUAGGUGGCAAGCGUUAUCCGGAUUUAUUGGGCGUAAAGCGAGCGCAGGCGGUUGUUUAGGUCUGAUGUGAAAGCCUUCGGCUUAACCGAAGAAGUGCAUCGGAAACCGGGCGACUUGAGUGCAGAAGAGGACAGUGGAACUCCAUGUGUAGCGGUGGAAUGCGUAGAUAUAUGGAAGAACACCAGUGGCGAAGGCGGCUGUCUGGUCUGCAACUGACGCUGAGGCUCGAAAGCAUGGGUAGCGAACAGGAUUAGAUACCCUGGUAGUCC